GCUACAGGCUUAACACAUGCAAGUCGAGGGGCAUCAGGAAGAAAGCUUGCUUUCUUUGCUGGCGACCGGCGCACGGGUGAGUAACACGUAUCCAACCUGCCCUUUACUCGGGGAUAGCCUUUCGAAAGAAAGAUUAAUACCCGAUGGCAUAAUGAUUCCGCAUGGUUUCAUUAUUAAAGGAUUCCGGUAAAGGAUGGGGAUGCGUUCCAUUAGGUUGUUGGUGAGGUAACGGCUCACCAAGCCUUCGAUGGAUAGGGGUUCUGAGAGGAAGGUCCCCCACAUUGGAAUUGAGACACGGUCCAAACUCCUACAGGAGGCAGCAGUGAGGAAUAUUGGUCAAUGGGCGCUAGCCUGAACCAGCCAAGUAGCGUGAAGGAUGAAGGCUCUAUGGGUCGUAAACUUCUUUUAUAUAAGAAUAAAGUGCAGUAUGUAUACUGUUUUGUAUGUAUUAUAUGAAUAAGGAUCGGCUAACUCCGUGCCAGCAGCCGCGGUAAUACGGAGGAUCCGAGCGUUAUCCGGAUUUAUUGGGUUUAAAGGGAGCGUAGGUGGACUGGUAAGUCAGUUGUGAAAGUUUGCGGCUCAACCGUAAAAUUGCAGUUGAUACUGUCAGUCUUGAGUACAGUAGAGGUGGGCGGAAUUCGUGGUGUAGCGGUGAAAUGCUUAGAUAUCACGAAGAACUCCGAUUGCGAAGGCAGCUCACUGGACUGCAACUGACACUGAUGCUCGAAAGUGUGGGUAUCAAACAGGAUUAGAUACCCUGGUAGUCCACACAGUAAACGAUGAAUACUCGCUGUUUGCGAUAUACAGUAAGCGGCCAAGCGAAAGCAUUAAGUAUUCCACCUGGGGAGUACGCCGGCAACGGUGAAACUCAAAGGAAUUGACGGGGGCCCGCACAAGCGGAGGAACAUGUGGUUUAAUUCGAUGAUACGCGAGGAACCUUACCCGGGCUUAAAUUGCAGUGGAAUGAUGUGGAAACAUGUCAGUGAGCAAUCACCGCUGUGAAGGUGCUGCAUGGUUGUCGUCAGCUCGUGCCGUGAGGUGUCGGCUUAAGUGCCAUAACGAGCGCAACCCUUAUCUUUAGUUACUAACAGGUCAUGCUGAGGACUCUAGAGAGACUGCCGUCGUAAGAUGUGAGGAAGGUGGGGAUGACGUCAAAUCAGCACGGCCCUUACGUCCGGGGCUACACACGUGUUACAAUGGGGGGUACAGAAGGCAGCUAGCGGGUGACCGUAUGCUAAUCCCAAAAUCCUCUCUCAGUUCGGAUCGAAGUCUGCAACCCGACUUCGUGAAGCUGGAUUCGCUAGUAAUCGCGCAUCAGCCACGGCGCGGUGAAUACGUUCCCGGGCCUUGUACACACCGCCCGUCAAGCCAUGGGAGCCGGGGGUACCUGAAGUACGUAACCGCAAGGAUCGUCCUAGGGUAAAACUGGUGACUGGGGCUAAGUCAUAACA
rnacentral:rRNA from 1 species